GUAAACAAAAUAAAGAAAAGCGACCUGAUGCCUACAUGGAAAAGUUGAAAGACACAUUGGAGGGAAACUCAGAAAGAGACAUGUUCCCGAGACUGUCUUCAAAGUCCUGGGUGCUUCCUCCUCCCCCCCUCACCUGCCAGUUUAUUGCCAGAGAACCACGGUCCAUGGAAAUCAGUUCACAUCACGUGAGGAACACCAAGCAGGGCAUGUGACAGGAGCACCACAGGACUGAGUGUUACAAGAAGAAGGAAGAAAAGGAGGGAUGGAGGGACACGGAGAGUGAGAAAGAAAGGAAGAUAGAAGGAAGACUGAAAAUCGAGGGAUGUCUGGAAGUCAGCGGAGGAGGGAGCCCUGUGGUGUGUAGCUGCCUAUACCUUGUCAAACAGGCUUCCUCCAAUCAUGAGCCUUAUUGUUACUGACGUCAGUUGAUGCUAUAAUUGGAUAUGGAGUUGGAGAGUGCGCAGAUGCAAUAGGGAUUGAAGUGUUCUGAGCCCAUGAAGAUGUCAAAAAAUAAAAAGAUAAAUACCGGUUUCAUCUGCAUAUUAGUCUUCCUCCUCCUCCAGUGCUCAAAGUCAGGUACAGGGGCCCACAUGAAUGCUGACCUGUGGCUGUGCCAGCGAGCACCCAGGUGUGGAAACUGGAUGUACAACCCCUUGGAGCAAUGCUGUGACGAUGACACCAUCCUGCCCUUCAACCGGACCCACCUCUGUGGCCCCAACUGCACAUUCUGGCCCUGACUUGAGCUCUGCUGUCCUGAGUCAUCAGGCCCCCAGACCAGGUUUGAUGAAAGUUGAAGGUUAUGGGCAAGACAUCUCCGUGCCCGACCUCUCCCAUCACCAGGGUCUAUCCCAGGGGUCUGACUCCACCACUUACAAGUGGGAUUUUGUCCAAUGACUUAACCUCCCAGAGCUCAAUGUCCUCUUCAAGCUCAGUGAAUUAACAGCCCUCCUGAUGUUGGACCUGUUUCAACAGCAUAUUAGCCUUCCUCCUCCUCCUCCUGUGCUUAAAGUCAGGGGCCCACAUGAACUCCGGCCUGUGGCUGUGCCAGCAAGCACCCAGAUGUGGGAACCAUAUGUACAACCCCAUGGAGCAAUGCUGUCAUCAUGACACCAUCCUGUCCUUCAACCGGACCAACCUCUGUGGCCCUGGCUGCACGUUCUGGCCCUGCUUUGAGCUCUGCUGUCCUGAGUCGUUUGGCCCCCAGAAGAGAUUUGUUGUGAGAUUGAAGGUCCUAGGCAUGAAGUCACGGUGCUCUACCUCUCCCAUCUCCAGAGUCUGUCCCAGCAUAUGAGGGACAACCCGGCCAUCCUACUGGAACCUUGGAACAUCUGGCUAAAAGCACGCACCCUAAGAUAUGAGAAGAAAUGGGUGGAUUUCAUAGUUUUCAAAUGAUAAAAACAUGUCCUAGAUUCUGGUGAGGUUAGAUAUGUUCUUUCUGAAUUUCCUGUGGCAACUUGCUGAGAAAUGAUUACACAGGAACUUCUCUCUGCUCCUAAAGCCCCCCCUGCCUACAGCAAUCAGUGUCUCCUCAGUCAGCCUAAGUGUCCUCUCUCUCCUCUGGCUAAGGAUUCUUCUCUCAUCAAGGGGACAAGGAGUGAGGGUGGGGAGGUGGAUAUUCCUCCCGGUGGGGGGAGACGACCCAGCCCCAGAGCCACCUUGUGGUUCCUGCACCUGCAGCUCCUGUGGGAGGUGGGAGGGUGGGAGCUGCCCUGAGGAGCUGGAGCAUUGCUGGGUUAAAUGAUAAACAUCUAAAUAUUUUAAAAUAGUAUACAAUACUCAAACAUUGAUUGCUAGACACAAUUUAAUUCGCCUGCUCUUAGUUUUUAUUACAGAAGGUCUCUUGUACUUUGUUGAAUGUCUAUUUUCUUGAAAGGAAGUGUGUUGUUAAAUGUCAAUCUAAGAAAUGUUGGCUGUUUACUUUUUGGUUAUCAUUGAAAAAUUAAGGUUUCUAAGAGUGAAGAAUCCUAAUAUAUUUUAAAGAAAAAAGAAAUAAAUGGUCUGUACAAGUUGCUGAAGGUAUGGCAGGGAGAAAGAAUAUUAGAGUAGAAAUACUUAAUGGAAGGUCUGAGGCAUGGUUAUGCAUUUUUGAAGGACGUAGAAAGAAGGCUAAUUUGAAAGUGUAAAAUUUUUGAAGGCUGCAUAUGUGAUGAGAAGGAAACGAGAAAUGUUGAAAGAAAGAAAUAAGUUCUAAAGUUAACUAUUUACAAGAAAUAUAAAAGGGCCAGUUUACUCUGUUCAAGAAAGUGAGGUUUCAGUCUCCAAGCCUGGCAGGACAAGGUUGCUGGAUCCUUCUUAAGCUAAACCAGAAUAUUCAGCAGCAAAAUUUUAAGAUAAGAGUGUGCAUAAUGCCUCAGACCACCAUCCAGCCUGCUCUUCAGAUUGGCUGGGGCCGGGGGCGGGGGGCAGGAUCUGUACUUAACGGGUCAAAUGUAUAGUUUUGCUUACUUUGCUUUUCAAUAAAGGAGCAUACUUUAAUUACUUGAUAGGUUAUCUUUUCACAAUAUAAUUAAGGUCUCAUAUAAACUCAUUCAUGUGAGAAGCCAAUAUUUUAUGAGCAACUGGUUCUAGUAAAGUCCAAAGUAAAAUUUGCAUAUAUAUGCAAAUGAGCACUAGCCAAAAAGAAUGCUAUUUAGAAGUAAAUUUAAGCUUAAAAAGAAGAAAAAAGAAAAAAAGAAAUGUAAAAAUCUCUUCCACUACUACUUACCAAGUAAACUAAAAGUUAUUAUUGAAGCAUUAAAUCUCACCAUUAAUGAGACACCAUAAGUAAAAAGAAAGUUACUUUUACUUGAGAUGUAUGCAUUGCAGUAUUGGCCAACAUGUUUCUCUCCUACCUAUUUUUCCUGGACAGCAAGUAAGAUGGUUGCUCUGCUUUGAAAGAAAGUAAAAGUCUUUAGUGCAGCAAUUUAAGGGUUAAAAGUAAAAACAGCAAGGAUUAAGGUUCAGUAAAAAUAAGAAGUUAAGCCAGUGAGUGGCAGAUUAUCACCUUGGGAAAUUUAAAGUACUAAAUUUGGCUGGUCCGAGUGCAGUGUCUUACUUCUUAUCCAACCAUCCUGGCCCCUGGCCUCAACUGCUCCUUUCCUUCCUUUUCUCUUUUCCCUUGGAUAACAGCCCAUUCUAACAUUACCUCCCACUUUCACUGCAAUAAAAUCUCAACCACUCAUUUGUCACCCCUUAUUGGCAGUGCCAUGGUGACUACCCUCUCAGCUUGUAGUGCAGAACUAGAAAAAGGAACCUCAUACCCUUUAGUCCACCUCUUCUCCUUACACCUAUCAGCUUGUCUCCAUGAUCAGGGAUUUUUCUUCUUCUGUGGGGAAAACACAUACAUCUGUCUCUCCAUCAGCUGGACAGGAAUCUGCACUCUCAUCUUUCACCCAAUAUAGAUGUAGCCCCCAAUAAUCAGUCUUUACCUGUCCCCGUAACCCAUCAUGUCUGACACAAAAGAGGAGUCCAGAUAAUCCCUUUCCUAAUAACCCUGGGCAUCGCAGCAGGGGUUGGAACUGCCAUAGGGACUUAACCACUGCUCUACCUAUUUGGAAAUCCUGUCUCAGGACCUACAAGAAACCUGUGGAUGCCCAGCAAGGGGCAAAACUGGGAAAACAAGAACCUCACCCCCAGGGUAACCUACUCUCCCCUUUCAUAUCACUAGUGAGGCAACUGAGACCCCUACUCUUUCCCCCCCUAAAAAUAACAUCUAGAUCUCAGUUGUAUUUCAGCUCCAGGCCUAGAAAAGCAGCAAAAGUAUACAAGUGAUGCUGUGGCAGCCUCAGGACCAGCUUUUACCUCCCAAGUCACUCAACAGGACCACUUUCAAGACUUCACCAACCAGUCUCUUGGGAAAAUCAUGCUGCUGCAACCCUCAUCCAGCCUACUACUAUCAGAGUCCAUUCCCCUGUGAUCUUGACGUCCCACCUCAGCAGGAAGCAAUUACAGAAGAUAUGACCUUCAUCCUUAUUCCAUAAACAAAAAGGCUGGAAUGUUAGAUUUGAUCGAGCAAUUGAAUUGAUACCCCUCCCCCUGGGAACUGGCUUUCCAGGUCAUUUCACUAUGGGUAUUCCCUUUGCUCAGACCACAUUUCACUUGUAGUGACCACAUUUCAUUAUCUCCCCCUCCAGUUAUGCAUAAAGAAGUCUCCAUCCAGAAAAAAAUCCCGCCAAAAGUCCUUUAAAGGCCGCCGACUCCCGUCACUGGGUGCUGGAGCCAUUCAGGCUCAGCCACCUGGUGUGUGGAUGAUGGAAUAAAUUCGCAAUCCCUCCCCA